rnacentral:lncRNA from 1 species
UAUGUUUGAUUAUUUUCUUAAUGCAUUGCUGAAUUAAGUGAUGGUCAUUUCUCCACUGCAUGAGGCUUACUGAUGGAACUCUAGAUCUCAAAUAAUGAAAAUAAGAUUGAAAUGGAGAAAUAUGUAAUUGUAUUGAUUGAAAACAGAUGAACAAUUACACAGUUUAUGAAAAUGGAAAANNNNNNNNNNNNNNNNNNNNNNNNNNNNNNNNNNNNNNNNNNNNNCCUUAUAUAGUGGAGCAAGUCCUCAUGCUCUCCAUGCACUCAUGCCACCUCAUCACACCUUAGUCUUGGGCCAAAGUCAAGGCCCACUUCAUGAUUCAAGUCUCUAUCAAUACCCACCCCUUCAAACAACCUUGUCCUCAAGGUUGAACUUAUUUUACAUCCAUCAAACUUGCCUCUAUCAAAUACAAGGUUGAACCAUCCAUGAAAAAUAAGUAAGCCACCCCAGCAAUAGUCAUCAGUUGUACUUGCCAUAGGAAAAUUGAAUUCUCCUGGAUCCCAUUGUUUGUUCAAAAUGAUUGCAUGCAAGAACAUCAUCCCACAAUCAAAUCCAGCUUUCAUUUCUUCCAGAGUCCCCAUCAUAGUAUUCAAAAAUCGUCUCAGCAUCUCAAUCAAAGUAGUUGACAACAAAUGAUUUCUAUUAGCCAAAGAUUUCAAUGAGCACCCAUUCACCUCCUUUCCAUUUGACAACAACACUGGAUCAGCAUAUGCUAUGAACCAACUCAUGAAAGUUCUUGAACAUAUAGGCACCAAGAACAUCAUACUCCUAAAAUAUUUCAGCACUUUCACACACAUCCCUUGUUGUGCAAACUCGCAAAUCAAAGAGUUCCACAUUGUUGUAUAUGGUGACAUCUCUUCAUUUUCACUCCAUUGAUAGGUAUCAUUAGGGUGCAUGUUGCAGUUAAUUUCUACAGCAAGCAUGGCAACAACAUUUGCUAUAGCAUUUUUGAGACACAUGACAAAACAACUUGAUGUAUCCUCCAUUAAUAAAAUGUAUAUAUGUAAAGAUAGCAGUGAUAAUACUAUUUCCCUUUUUCUAUUCAUUCCAUUGAUAGCAAUAACUGUCAUAUCAGUUGCACAAGAUUCUUUUAUUACCUUCCUCACCUUCCAAUAAUAACAAUACCUCAAAACCUUGAUGUAGAAAAUUGAGGUGGAGCACACAUAAGUACACAGCAUAGUUGCUGAACAAACAAACCAAAAGUUGCGACAGGUGUUCUUCGAUUCCAUGCAUUGGCUCACCCAAGGGCACCAAUGAUCUAAACAUUCAACACCAUUGUUGCAAAGAAAGUAAUAUGAGCAAUGAGAAGGACAGUACAACAUAUAAGUGUCACAAUACUUCACCUUUUUAAGGAGCUCAUUAACCAUUUCUUCAUCUACUAGAAAGAACCCAAAGUCUACUGUUUGCCACCUCUUAAAUUCAAUUGAGACAGGAGAAUGUUGCUCAAUUGCAUCCUUACAGACUAGUGUUUCUCCCACAAAUGAGGCUAGCACAAGAUUGAAGCAAACUCCCUUUAAUAGUGCUCUCAACAAUGACUCAUUAUUCUCCUUAGCUUUUAUUUGGUUUUGACACGUUAAUUCAUAAAUUAGCUUAAAUAGACAGCUGUGCAACCUCCAUUGUUUUUGCUCUUGGACCCAAGCAGCACUAAGAUCAUUUUGGGCUUGGCCCAAUAGAAUAAAUUUUUUAUUCAACUUAAUAAAAAAUUUAUUCCACUUACGGAUUGUCGAGAUUGCCCUCUGGUCUCCCUUUCUCAGAUCCGCAAAUUCCUUCAACCAAGAAGAGCUUUCGACGACGNNNNNNNNNNNNNNNNNNNNNNNNNNNNNNNNNGUAUCUGGCGGUUUCCAAGGCAGUGGGGCUCGUCGUAGUAGUGUCGACGCCGGUAGAUUGGCGUCCGGCGGUUUCGACGGAGGUAGCAUGAUGUUUGAUUUUGCUAUAGUUGGUUCCUUCGACAGUUUCUCCUUCAACAGAGUUCGAUCUUCCGGCGUGAAGGUCGAUCGUGACUCAUUCAUCUUUCGCUCCUUCUCACUUCUUUGCAUCUCAGUUGUUUCCAACCUUUCUGCCAUUGCGAUUACCAUCGUUUUAGAUUCACGAUCAAUUUCUUUGAUGAGAACUUCUUCUCGGUUAUUAGAGAAUGCCUCGAUCACCUUCAACUUUGGCUCAACGUGUUUUUCUGUCAAGUACUCCACCUGUGCUCCAAAUUGUCUGAUCAUAGCCACGGAAAAUGUUUUCCAAUCUGCAUCUGGGUUCUCUUCACACCAAUAAUAAAACCACAUCAUCGCCUGUUUAUCCUCCAUGCUCAUAAAAGCCCACUGAAGCUUAUCACGAGAAGGAACUUCAUUCUUCUCAAAGAACCUUUCAGCCGCAUUGAUCCAGCCAACAGGAUCGGUUCCCAUGAAAUCUGGUAAUUGCUUCUUCAUAGUCCAAAUGUCCUCCAUCACUGGCUCUCCGUCGGAUCCGGCAACAGGAUCGGUUCCCAUGAACUCUAGAUCUCAAAUAAUGAAAAUAAGAUUGAAAUGGAGAAAUAUGUAAUUGUAUUGAUUGAAAACAGAUGAACACUUACACAGUUUAUGAAAAUGGAAAAAGAAAAUAACAAAGGUAACAAACUAGUAGAGAAUCUACUAGCCCCAAAGCACUAAGUGCCCCAAAUCACUAAAAGUGAUCCCCUUAAUUCUAACUGAAAUUCUAGCCAAGUUAUUCCUUGUGCAUAACACUCCUUAUAUAGUGGAGCAAGUCCUCAUGCUCUCCAUGCACUCAUGCCACCUCAUCACACCUUAGUCUUGGGCCAAAGUCAAGGCCCACUUCAUGAUUCAAGUCUCUAUCACUUACCCUCAGAGCGGAUGUUAGGGGAACGCGGUUCCCUCGAGCGUAGUUAUUUUGCUUCACUAUUUUUUUUGCUUUCUGGUCCAUUCCUUUUCUUGACGAUUAUUUGUUGUAACCAACAAAAAUGUUGGAUACUUGGUCAAUAUGAUUUGACAAAUGCUUCCCUAGUAAAAUAUUCCAACCGCAAGUCCACAACACUGUGUUUCCGAGGUAUUGUCCUCUUUGGGCCUUAUGUGAGCGCCUCUUUGGGUUGUGGAGUGUGGGUGUUGUGUUGUAUAUAAACUACCUCUGACCUCAAUUCACAAGCAAUGUGGGAUUUUUUGGUGUACCGAAACAAUAGCCCCUCAAUCGAGGCUAAGGGGCUAAAGGGCAUGACCCUCGAGUGUGGCGUGCGUUCAACCCCUACCUGAUGCCAUGUUUUGCAUAAACAUUGUUGAUAACCACUGCUUAUUCUCACUCAAAAAAGAAGGAAAAGAAUCAACAUCAAACUCAAUUGCUUAUGAGUUUAUGCGGUCAUCCUGCUCCUUUGGUGGGAGGUAGUGUAACAACCCGGCUCUACUUAACAAUAAUAGUGUUAAUUAGAGACCCGUUUAGAAAUAAGGACAAGAUCCAAUGAGUAGUAUGUGGAUUAUUUUAUUAAAAAAGACAUGCUUGUGAAUUGGUGAAAAGUGAAAAGGGGUAUAAUUGUACAUUGGCAUUAAGAAGAAAGAUAUAGAAAUAGCAAGAGUCAUGAAACAUUAUUCGUUUUGCUUUCUCCUUCUCUGUACCCACAGAAUACUCCCUCAUUCUUCUCUUCUUGUUUGGCCAUCACCCACAACAACUUAAUAUCCAUUUUUGUACUCUCCAUCCACCAAAUCAAGCUUCUGCAUGUCCUAAAUUAAUGCUUCAGACCAUGAAACCACCAACAUAUAUCUUGCUUCAUUUCUCACCCCCUUUCCAAUGACCCAACAAUCAUCUCAAGGAAGAUUUUGUAUAGGAUCAUGCCAUAUGUACAUGUAUUUAUCGGUUAUCAUGGUUCUGAUGUAAACUUAUUAACGGUUACAUCAAGACAACUUAUUUAGUUUAAUUAAAUCAUGUAUAUUUGGUAUUUCCUUCAGACUACUUGUGUAAAAGAUUAGUUUUAUUUCCGCAAUUUUAAUGUUUCCCGAUUCAGUUAUGUAUGCUCGUAUUGAUAUUCUAGAUAAAUCAAUAUGGGGUGUUAUAGGUAGAAUGUGCAGAGAGGGUGCUGAGGAUUAGGAACAUUUGAUUUUUCCUCCGUUUUUGUUUGGAUGUAUUUAGGAUAUAGUGAUACAAUCAACAAGUGAACAGAUUUUGUAGGGUUUCUGGUUUUUUGUCUGCACUUAUAUCUGUGUUGGAAUGCAGCCUUGAUUAUUAUAUUCUGAUCCUUCUCGGAGUUGUGGCAUAUGCUUAGUUGUUUGUUUGAAUGGUGCACCACUCUCCCAUCGUGUUUUUACCCAGUUGUUUGUUUUUACAGACAAGCAUUACUAACCAAAUCUAAUUUCAAUUUUCACCCUAUUUUUCGACGUUGACACAGAUUGUCCACUUGUUGGUUCACACAUCACGACCAAAAUAUUUUUCCUCUAUGCUCUCUUCCUCUUUGUGAUUUGCAAAGUCACACUCCCACUCUCUCUUUUCUCUCUCUCUCAACCCUCUUCUCUCCUGUAUAGUUAACCAAACAUAUUCUUCAUCAUCUCAUCUAUUGGUAGUAACUGAGGUCAUCUCAUCUAUUGGUAGUAACUGAGGUAUGCGUUUGUUUUGUUGUUUUUUCCUUGCAUAGAUUUUUCUGUUCUGUCUCUUUAUGGCUUUAUUUAGUGAUAUUAAUUCUGAAUGAUACCUGAUAUGAAAAGUGCUUUUAGGCGUGGCUUCAUUUCAAAUCAUGUUUCAUGUUUUAGCUAUUGGACUCUUACGUUAGGCUGAAUUUUCACUCAGAAAAAUAUAUGGUAGCAAAAGAAAUGCUUGAUGGACAUAUUCCGAGGAAUUGUAGCAAGAAAUGUUUGAUGAAUAUAUUCAGGGGAAUUGGAGACACUUUUCAUAAUGCAUUUUUGUUUGAAAAUUUAGUUUCAAUUUGAGAAUUUAUAAAUAAUUUGUGCUAUUACUAUUAUUUAGACUAUUAUUGUUCCCUUUAUAUUGCUAUGAGACUUCAUUCAUGUAUUAUUUGAGACCCU